rnacentral:lncRNA from 1 species
GUAAUAAUAACACUGUUGCCACAGCGAAGUUACUGUUGCCAUAGAGAACAUCGAAAUGUCCAGAUUUCAGAUGCUCGCGGGAAUCUUUCGACGCUGUGAAUUUACCAGAGAGAAUUUUUUUGUGAAAACUGCUCCAUUACGAUGGCCCAAUCCAGGGGGAGAAAGAUGGUGGAACUGGCAUUAAAGAGAAAGUAUCCCGAGUAUGCUGCACAGGGUAUUCCACCAAAGAGGAGUCGAGACUGCAUGGAAGAAACAUGGGUGAUCCCAGACACUUUGUUGGACACCAGCUUCGACCUGGACACCAGCUUCGACCUGUCCGAUGAUGGCUCAUACUACGUCCCAACCCCAUACCUUUCCCCGACACAGACUGAACUGGAACCAACUUCAAGCCAUUCCCCGACUGAACUGGAACCAACCCCAAGCCAUUCCCCGACUGAACUGGAACCAACCCCAAGCCAUUCCCCGACUGAAGAGGAACCAACCCCAAGCCAUUCUCCGACUGAAUUGGAACCAACCCCAAGCCACUCCCCGACUGAACUGGAACCAACCCCAAGCCAUUCCCCGACUGAAGUGGAACUGACACAGACUGAAGUGGAACCAACUGAGGAGGAAAGGCCGCAACCACGCCCACCAAUGAGGGGCCCAUGUGGUUCCCAGUGUCAUAGGAAGUGCACUGACCACAUGUCAGAUGACAGGCGGAAGGAGAUAUGGAGGCAGUUUUGGGACAUGACGUACACAGAGCGGCGAACCUGGAUGUUCCACUCAGUCACCAGACUGGAGACGAAGAGAGUUUGUGCUGCAGGCAGUCGACGUGGCCGGACAUUCAGCUACAGGCUACAAGACCAGAGAGGAGAGCCAAGACGUGUCUGCAAGAUGUUCUUCUUGUCAACGCUGGGCUACCACCCAAAAAAUGACAGUCUGGUGAUGACCAUGAUGGGCAAUGCAAGCAGCAAGCCACUCGCUCCACCUCAGGACCAGAGAGGAAGGCAGGCCGCUGCAAACAAACUCGAUCCAAAGUCAUUACUGGACCACAUAGAGUCGUUCCACCCUACAGUUAGCCACUAUAGGCGUGAACAUGCCCCACAUCGACGGUACCUUCCUAGUGACAUCACCAUGAAAAUGAUGCAUGCUGAUUAUGUGGAGAAAGGGGACACACCUGUUCGUAUGAGGCGUACAGGACGGCUGUCAGGCAAAAAAAAAUAAGUUUCACAAAACUUGGAGAGGAGGAGUGUGAGACUUGCUUGCAGCAUGCUGAACAUGAAAAAUCACACACAGAGGAGAUGGUGGAUUGCCCAGAAUGUCUAAGGUGGCAAAAGCACAAGCAGUCUGCCCUGCAGAGUCGGCUGAGGUACAAGGAGGAUGCAGAGACCAGCAGCUGGCCCGACGGCACCUCAGUCCGGAGUGCAGACCUCCAAAAAGUGAUAAUGCUGCCACGUAUGCCUGGAGUAAAAUCUUGUGUUUUUACGCGACGUGUUGUGGCAUACCACGAGACAUUUGCCUCUGUGGGGAAGGGGAAAAACAAGAAGAACACCAUCUCUGUCUUGUGGCAUGAGGGAAUAGCAGGGCGAAGCGCUGCAGAAAUCACAUCUGCAUACAUGGCAGCAUUGGAGAAAGAGAGGGAUGCACGCCACAUAAUUCUCUGGGUGGACAACUGCAGUGCGCAAAAUAAGAAUUGGUGCUUGCUCUCCUCACUCGUCACCCUAGUCAGUGGCACAACUUCACUGGAAGACAUCACCCUAAAAUACUUCGAGCCAGGGCACACUUUCAUGAGCGCUGACAGUUUCCACCAUGGUGUCGAGCAGCAAAUUAGGAAGUGUCCAGGUGGUGUUGUGUACGACUUCGAGGACUUUGUGAAUGUUGUGGCGAGCUCCAAUUCAAAGAAAGUGGAUGUUGUCCUGAUGCAGAAUGCCAAUGUGCUGGAUUGGAAAGAUGGCCAUUCCACUACCAAGGUCAAGAAGGCAAAAGCACCAAAGCUUGGGGAGAUGGCAGAAAUUCAAGUGCGGCGAGGCUCCAGGAGUCUUUUUUACAAGCGGUCACAUGUUGAGACAGAAUUCACAGAAAUGGACUUCCUAUUAAAAAAAUUCAUCCCAACCCUGCCCACUCUCUUGCGACCACAGGACAGGGGAGUUGACGAGAUCAAAAAGAGGGACUUAAUUAACAAACUUUGUCCACUCAUGCCCCCAAACAGAAGGGGGUUCUGGCAUUCCCUGCCUGUACUGAAGGAUGUCCUGGAGGAGUAAUGAAAUUAAUGUAUUGUGUAUUGUUUGUACCUAGUGUGUUGUUCUUUCAUUAUCCCCUGAUUUCUAACAGUUGUAUAUAUAAUUAUAACUAUUUAUCAAAUGAAUAACAAAUAAGCUGAUUUACUCAUUUCUAUGUAUUCAUGCAUCACUCAUGCUUCAUUCAGCAAUGUUUUAAUCUUCCACACCAUAUAAAAUUAACUUGCUCAAAGAUAUAUAAAAAAUAUUGUUUCAUAUUCCAAAUAUUGUUUAAUAAAUAUUGUUUAAUGUAAUUAUAUACUUGGAAAAAAUGGCAUGUAUGCCAUAUGAAAUCAGUAUGAUUCUUGAGAGUUGUUUUCA